rfam:Zootermopsis nevadensis contig10248, whole genome shotgun sequence.
GCCACGGUGGUCUAGCGGUUACAACGCUGGCCUUGUAAUCCUGGGGUCUCGGGUUCGAUUCCCGGCGGUGCCC